UGGGUAGAGCCAGGUUCAAACUGCUGCCACUAUUAAUCAGGUUAUUCAACAAACAUCCACCAUACUUGAAUCUCAAAGUAGAAUUAAUCAACACAUUCUAUCUGGGAUUUUGGCUGCUAAUCAAAGGAUAGAUCUGCUUCAAGCUCAAGUUGAGGAAUUGUCUGACCUAGUACAUUUGGGUUGUAUUGAUCAACGUGCACAUUUAUGUAUAACCUCUGUCAGAUUUAAUGAUUCCAGGAAUGCCUCCCGCAUCAUUGGCGAAUAUUUGGCCGGAAAUUGGUCCAUGGCAGCAGAAAACUUGAUCCAGUCUCAACUAACUCAGAUUGCUGUUUUGAACAGUACCCGUGUCGAUCCCGUGACUUUGGGUCAAUUCACCAAUUGGAUAUCUUCUGCUUUUUCCUUCUUCAAAGAGUGGGUGGGNUAGUUUACAUUAGAGUUCACUCCUGGUGUUGUAUAUUUUAUGUAUUUGUAGAAAAGUAUGAUAUGUGUCUACCAUAAUAGUAUAAUACAGAAUAAUUUCUCUGUCCUAAAAAUCUGUGUACUCUUCUUGUUCAUCAUUCCCU
rnacentral:lncRNA from 1 species